AGGGCUGUCUAAGAAUCAAGGGAAAUUUAGUUUUUGGGCUAAAUUUGAUUUGGGCUGGCAAGAUUAACCCAGAUCAAAUUUAGCCCAAAAACUAAAUUUCCCUUGAUUCUUAGCCA